CCCAUAACCCACGCAGCCCCACACCCACAAUUGCUGAAACCGUAAAAAAAAACAAUUCUUUUCUCUCUCUGUGCUCGUUGCUUUCUUUCUUCUCCUGUGCGCAGCUUUGGUUCUUUUCUCUUCUCUUCAAUUUUCUUUCUUCUUUAAAGGAAACAAAAUACUACACAAUACCCCCACCAUCAAAUAGACGUUGGUGAAGAGAAAUUAUCUUGCAAGUGGAAAAGAUGUUGGGCAUGGUUUUGGGAGAUAGGGUUUGUGCUAAAGAAUGAGAAGAGUACCCACCGCUUCACGAUUACUCAGUCGGGUUAUUGAGAUCUGCCGGUUAGUGGUUCGUUUGGUUGUCGCGCAGUUGUGGAGAGCAAUCGUGUUUGUUCUUCGUAACGAUUUUCAGGCAGCUUAGUAGCAGACUGUUGUCAGAUUCAGAUCAUUCGACUUAUUUCCUUUAGCAGGUUGUCAUAGUGGUGUCUUUUAUUUAAUCCUGGUUAUCUGCAGCUAUAGGGAGUCCUAGGUGGAUUUAGAUUUGGGAUUGUGAUUUAUUGUUAUAUUUUAAGAGUUGGAACUUGAGUGCUCGAGUUGGUUUUAUAUUUCACUUAAAAUACUGGUUAUGGAAGAACUCAUUGUGCUCGAGUUGGUUUUAUAUUUCACUUAAAAUACUGGUUAUGGAAGAACUCAUUGGCAGAUGUUGUUAAUUUGUAACUAUUGGAAUUACAAAAGAGAUUCUAGUGUUUUUAUA